rnacentral:rRNA from 1 species
UACGGAGGGGGCGAGCGUUGUCCGAAGUUACUGGGCGUAAAGCGCGUGUAGGCGGGUUGCCAAGGCCGCUGUGAAAGCCCGAGGCUCAACCUCGGAGGGUCGGUGGAUACUGGCAGUCUUGAAGGUGCUAGGGGGAGAUGGAAUUACCGGUGUAGCGGUGAAAUGCGCAGAUAUCAGGAAGAACACCCGUGGCGAAGGCGGCUCUCUGGGACGGUACUGACGCUGAGACGCGAAAGCGUGGGGAGCGAACAGG